UGUGAUACACAGACCUCUGGGACGAUCUGCACCGAGGAUCGAGGAGGUUUUUGGGGGGAUUCCAGUUGUGAAGAGUGGCGGAUUUGUGAGUCCUUAGAAAUAAUUUAAGUUGUGAGAUUUAGGAAAUUUUUCUGAAUCACCAGGAUUUCUUUUUUUAUGACUUGCUUUAAGCUUUUAUGGUGCAAAUCACAUGCACAGUUGGAAAUGUAUAGAGAAAUGGAGGCUGACUGUCUGCUGUCAGUGGCAGGACAACUUUGUCUUGCUUGACAAAGUGCCAUCACCUCAUAACAUAAGGAGGAGGCAUGUGCUUCUGGCCACUGCAGAUAAAAAGCAGCCAUCAGUGGGUUACACGAGGAAGAGAGAGAGAUGGUGUGUGGCCGAGCGUGACCGUGUCCACAGUGUCAUUUCUACUGACCACCCGGACCGGAGGCCAACUUUAUCUGUUUUUGCAUCUUUAUGUCAGCGUCAGCUCAGAUUAGGAUGAGCAGAGCCAUUUACAGCCACGUUAAUGAAUCUGGAGAGGUUGCGUCAGUGUAUAGUUGUUAGAUUAAAAUACAUAUACUGACACGGAAGCAAGAAAAGUAAAGCUUCCCUUGGCUUUGAUCCACUGAGGCAAACGCGUCUUCGUUCCUUGUCGUCACUUAUGUGGUUUGAGCAUAAUUUGGCACCAAUUUUGUGAAAGAACAACGAGACACAAAUUUGACUUGAGUCUUAUUUUAAAGGGAAAGAAAGAGUCAAAGGAAAGCUUUUUCAAUUUUGUGCCCGUAAUAUUGUGUUUUUUUGUCACUGGCGGGUAGCAUUUCAAACAGUUCUUACACUGCAGGUUGUUUGUGUGUGUGUUUUUUUAUUGUACCAGAUAGAUUUGGUUCUUCUGGCUCAGUUUGAAUAGCAGUGUAAUUGUACACGGUGCUCAACUUCUCUUCCAAUUCAUGUGCAAAAUGCAUAAAUACAAUAACUCUGCAGAGGCAGAGGAACACUAUAAUCAUGCAAUAACAUUUCUGACUGUAUGUGUGAUAGAAUUCGAAAUGCUAUUGGGAUUAUGGUUCUUAACCAUUGGGAGGUAAUGCGAACUGCGGGCAGAAAUGACUUAUUGCAUUAUGCUGUCCCCAAAUAUACAAAAUACUUCAGCGAGAGGGCUGCUUCUUCCCUAUCCCUGCCCAAUUUGAACUGUUUUUCCUCAGUCGUUGAGGGAUAGGCCUGCAAUUUUGCAAAAUGACUAUUAUUUACUUUUCUCAAGGAAUCAACAACUUGAAAGUACAGUGCAAUGAAUUGUUGGGGUUCUGCAGCUGCAUUUCAUUUACAAUAUGUCUUUUCUGUGAAACAUCUCAGAGAAUUUAGAGCAUAAAGCCUGUUUCGUUUUCCUUUGGAUACAAACUGCAAGUCUCUCUGUAAGUGAAAAGCACUUACCUUCCUGCUUAAUAUUAUGUUAGCUAAUGGUGUUGUUGUUUUUUCACCUUAAACCAUCAGGACAUUUCAAACUACAUUUUUUUUUAAAGUGCCUUGUGUUUCUACAUUCCUGACACAUUCUUGCCCUUGAUCAACUACAGAAGGCAGACAAUAGCGCAGAUCAUUUUCCCCAGGCAAGGAAACACAGCAUGGAUCAACUCAAUAACCUGAUAUUCCCUGUCUACUGAAUGUGGCCAAUUUAGCAAAGGUCAGCGCCUUUUUUUUUUUAUUCCAGAGACAAUUUGGUGACCUCCCUCCGGAGCCCCAGCAGGACCCGAGGAGACAAACACAAUCGUCGAGCUGUAGCGUGCUCGUGUUGACAUUGCGUUUCGGUGUGGACAUCUCAAGGUGAACAGAUACCUGGUGUGGGACAGAGGCGGCUAUUAUGCAAACCCGAUAGACACGGCAAGGAGUCGCACGCCUGUGAAUCAUUGUCAUAUAUUUUCUGUCGUUAUUUAUGGUGUCAGGUUGGGUGGUUACACUUGAGGCUGUACAUAUAUAAGUGAGAUCCAUGUGUGUUGGUGUGGCUGCAAAUCAUCCUCCAUCUUCCUUUUAAAUGCAAAAGUGCCGUUCACAGCUUCAAAUUAAAAACUCUUGUUUCAGGGAGAUUAUGGCCUUGCUAUGUUCCAUUUCAAUCCAUCUUUGCCAGCUUUAUUGUAGAUUUUGCUCUCCUGCUGUUUUGCAUUUAUCGUAUGGAUGUUCUCCUGAAACAAACUGUGAAAAUUGAAUCUCCAACAAUGAGAUGACAACAUCAAAUUUUCUGCAUUGUGUUUUACCUUUGCCCUCACGCACACCAUGCGUCUGUUUUUAGUGAGGAUAGAAUUUUUUGUAAGAAGAUCUCAUGAGAAGAUUAGGAGGGAUAAUUUGCAGCCAUUCCCUACAGCAGUCAUAUAGUCCCACUGUACAAAAUAACUCUGUCUUCAUUGUGCACUUCAAGGUCAAACGUGACAACAGCUUCAACUUCCUCGGACUCAAGCUGUAAAAAAAAAAAAACUGCAGAGUGUUCUCUCGAUAUUCUCUUUUGGUGAUAAGAGCUGGCCUUUAGUGUUACUCAGCCCAUUGAAAACGAUUUCAGAUGUGAAAGGGGAUGUUUUGUAUUUGAAAAUGUACAUUAAAUGGUGUCAACAACAUCCUGGAGGUCAGAGAAGAGUCCCCGCGCAGACUGAAUCUGGCUGCCGCGGCUCGACGACUCGACACCCCCCUGAGUGGCGGCUCCGUGAUGGCUCUCAGUUUCUCUCGUCAUGUCCCUGGCAGCUUUGACACAGGGAGCAAAACAAGGACUGCGAGCCGCCACCGGGCACUGGGCUCAUCCAGGGCUUUCAGCCUUCAAGAGGACUGAAGUCUGCCUUUGAGAAAAUUACUGUACAUUCACAUGAGUGCGGCUACACCACAGACAGGGAAAAUAUGCACCGUGCGGCUGCAGAUCCAUGAGUGUGCGGCUGAUGAACAUCCGACAUGAAGGACAGCAGCAACAGUAAUAGUGAAGAAGAGAUGCAGGCCUGUGCAGGGCGAUUCUAUGGUACCUGAUGGUGUCCGCGAGGCGACCAGUGACCCUACCUGCUCUUUUCUUCGCGACACCUUUUGUGCUGCCACGGAAGGGCUGAGUUGACGUUCCGCGGUGAUGCUGGAGGUUAUCACGGGCCCUAAAAGUCGCCCGAAUUGCCCUGUCAACAACAUGCGACAGUGAACAAAGUUUCCCUGGCUUUCAACGCGCCUCUCCCGAUUUUCCCUUGAAAGCGACAGAAAGUCAGAUGAAGGGAAGUUUAAUUAAGUAAGAACCUGUUGAGGAAGAUUUCCAAUCAUGGUCUUCAGAAUGAGUGCAUUCAGCGUAUUCAUCUUCAGGCGAUAUGCUGUCUCUUUAUCCAAGUGUGGGCUGGAGUUCUCUAGAGGGACCCCAGUUAAUUGAAUACAUUAAAGUAGGGCGCCGGAGGCUUUAUUUAUUUUUCUACUUUAGUCAGACUUGUUUAAAGGAGACCAACUGCUGAUGUUUGGCCCCUUCUAGAGUUUAAAUGGUCUCUACACUGGGAGUGGCACACAGGAGUAGUGGUUUGAGAAGAGAUUUGAGGUAAUCCACAGCCUUAUUUAUUCAUCAUGAACCCCUGAGUGAGCCCAGUUUAUGUAUUUGGCAGUCAUUCAAAUGUGCAUCUUGGCCCCCAGGCCUGUGUCCCAUUAUGUAGCUGUAGGACUCGAUAAAGAGGGUUUCAUUUUGUUCCCCCUCAUAACUUUUAUGACAAAAAUGCAUAAACAAACUUUACACAUGUGAAGAUAUCACAUAAUUUAGGUCCAUAGAAAAGAAAAAGAGAAACAAAUUACAUGAAUUAAUAUCACAAAAUAUGCCUAUUGGACACAUUUUGUCAUUUAGUAUGGAAAAUGUUGCACUAAUUGAUUGUACAGAUUAUACGAGUUGUACAAAUGUAGAAAUGUAUGUUAAAAGGAUAUUUUGUACAUUAUGUGCUUCAAAACAUCUGCAAGCAAGGAAAAGUUUUAGGGAGAAUGUAAGCAUAUAUAAAUAGAUAUAUAGAUAUCUAUAGAUAUAUCUAUAUAUCUAUAGAUAUAGAUAUAUAGAUAGAUAAAUUGAUUAUUUUGAAAAAUUGCCAAUUUAUUAGGACAUCUUGUAAAACUGUUAGAUGUGUAAUGACUCAUUAUAGCUCUGUUAAUCCUAAAAGGGUCAAAUGUUACUUCCAAGAGUUUGAUUCGUUGUCCGCAGACACUGAAGGUUUCUCCAUCUGAGGGGAAGAAAGAUUUGAUUCUGACUAUAUUAACAAUUAAUACUGUUUCAAAGCAGAUAUAUAAUAAGCUAGUGAGUACAUGACUUUCAAUUACAUCUGGCACAAUAAGAGACUGAACGUGAACCUGGAUGGGUCAGAGGGAGUGUGGAAAUGAUGGAGCAGAUUCUUUAACAAGCAGCUUGACUGGUGGACCUCAGGGUAUUAACAUCAUGUGAUGUGUGAAAUCCAGACGGUGGCUUUCUCCCCCGAGGGCACCGAGACCAGAUCCCUGGACAAUACUCAUUAGUCAACAUGCUCUUCACCUCCAUCGUCACAUUCAUCACGACGACACGGGAAACUUACUUGUACAAGCACAUCAUAUGCUCAUUAAUAACCUGGUUCAACAUUCAUCUUGCCAGAAGAAAAUUAAUUUCCUUGCUGCGGUGCACUUUGUUCAUUUAAAAACCAAUUGUCAAAAACCUGAUUCUUUGUUUUGCUGAGCAGGAAUCGCUGCAUCCCUUCAAUCAUAGUUGUAGAGAUAAUGAGAUGAAUACUAUUUUGCAUUAUAUUACACUGACUAGGCAUCAAUAAACAGAAGAAGUGUUUUUGAAAGGUCACAAGCUACAUUUUUCCUAUAAAAACAGAGUUAAGUCGCUGUUAGAAAGUUCAGUAAAUUUUGUGCAACACUAUCAUUUGAAAAACUUGGAUGCAUUUUAAUAAGAAGUAUUAAAGGGAGAUUUAAAAUGAACAAGGUGA